GUGAAUCAUCGAAUUUUUGAACGCAAAUUGCACUCUCUUCGGAGAGUAUGCCUGUUUGAGGGUUAGCCUAAAAAAAAUCGAAAUAGUUUGUGUUUCGCGGUGACAUUAGUCGGAAAUUGGGGCAUCUUAAAAAUUUGGGUUUUAAGGGGCUUAAAAUUUUAUUUACGGGUGUACGAACGUUUUUAAGAUUUUACUUCUUACACGUUUAAGGUAUCGGUCUUUUUUUGGAGUGGACGUUGCAUUGGAUGA
rnacentral:misc_RNA from 1 species